AGAGCGAACGCUGGCGGCAUGCUUAACACAUGCAAGUCUCACGGGCAGCAAUGUCAGUGGCGGACGGGUGAGUAACGCGUAGGUAUCUAUCCAUGGGUGGGGGAUAACGUCGGGAAACUGACGCUAAUACCGCAUGACAUCUGAGGAUCAAAGGCGCGAGUCGCCUGUGGAGGAGCCUGCGUACGAUUAGCUAGUUGGUGGGGUAAAGGCCUACCAAGGCGACGAUCGUUAGCUGGUCUGAGAGGAUGAUCAGCCACACUGGGACUGAGACACGGCCCAGACUCCUACGGGAGGCAGCAGUGGGGAAUAUUGGACAAUGGGCGAAAGCCUGAUCCAGCAAUGCCGCGUGUGUGAAGAAGGUCUUCGGAUUGUAAAGCACUUUCGGCGGGGACGAGUGAUGACGGUACCCGCAGAAGAAGCCCCGGCUAACUUCGUGCCAGCAGCCGCGGUAA
rnacentral:rRNA from 1 species